GUAUAGCAAUUGAUUCUCGAACAUUAAGAAGUCCUACAAGUUGGUGGAUGCGUUUUGGGGGUUCAACACCGGAGUUGCAAAAGUUUGCUAUUCGAGUCCUUAGCCUUGCUUGUAGUGCUUCGGGAUGUGAAAGAAAUUGGAGCACAUUUGAAUCGGUAAUACUUCUAUUUUUGUAAAUUUUUAUACAUAUAUUUCUAUUUCAAUGUUAGAGAACUUUAUUUCAUUUUAACACAUAAAAUUGUUUCUUUUAUUAUUUGUAGAUCCAUACAAAAAAAAAAGAAAUAGACUUGAACAUCAAAGGUUGAAUGCUCUAGUGUAUGUAAGGAACAACACUAGAUUGAGAGAGCGAAGUCUACAAAGGAAACAAAAUGUUGAUCCAAUCUUGGUAGAGGAGAUUGAUUCCGAUGAUGAAUGGAUUGCGGAGAAAGAAGAUCCCCUCCUCCCCCUUGAUCUUUGUUGACUUCAAGAUAAUGAAUUAUUCAAUGUUGAUGCCAUUAGAGUUGUGUCAUCCAACUCCCAAGAGACGCAAGCAUCAUCGGAUCAUAUGGUUUCUUCACAUUCCUACAAAAGGAAACAUAAUGAAGUACCAAGUACAAGUGGAGGCAAAGGCAAAGAGAAGGAAUUGAAUUUGACACCAAUUGAUGAAGAUGAAGAUUUAGAUGAAAUGGGGAUACAUGAUAGUGGACAUUUUCCUACUAUUGAUACAUUGGAUGAGGAUGAUGAUGACCUUGGAGAGGAGGAUUUAAGUUGAAACAAUUUACUCUAGUUGUUAUUUCAUGACUUAGUUAUGGAUUUUUUGUAAAAGUUUAGAACUAUUAUUAUGGUUGACUCUAUUUUCUAUUUCAUGACUUAGUUAUGGCUU